GAUGAACGCUGGCGGCGUGCCUAAUACAUGCAAGUCGAGCGAACGGACGAGAAGCUUGCUUCUCUGAUGUUAGCGGCGGACGGGUGAGUAACACGUGGAUAACCUACCUAUAAGACUGGGAUAACUUCGGGAAACCGGAGCUAAUACCGGAUAAUAUUUUGAACCGCAUGGUUCAAAAGUGAAAGACGGUCUUGCUGUCACUUAUAGAUGGAUCCGCGCUGCAUUAGCUAGUUGGUAAGGUAACGGCUUACCAAGGCAACGAUGCAUAGCCGACCUGAGAGGGUGAUCGGCCACACUGGAACUGAGACACGGUCCAGACUCCUACGGGAGGCAGCAGUAGGGAAUCUUCCGCAAUGGGCGAAAGCCUGACGGAGCAACGCCGCGUGAGUGAUGAAGGUCUUCGGAUCGUAGAACUCUGUUAUUAGGGAAGAACAUAUGUGUAAGUAACUGUGCACACCUUGACGGUACCUAAUCAGAAAGCCACGGCUAACUACGUG
rnacentral:rRNA from 1 species